UGGGGCGUAGCCAAGUCGGUAAGGCACUAGACUUUGACUCUAGCAUUCACAGGUUCGAGUCCUGUCGCCCCAGCCA
rnacentral:tRNA from 1 species